CCCCUAGAUGUUCUGGGCCGCCCGCGCGCUACACUGAACAGUUCAACAAGUCUUAACCUUGGCCGAUAGGUCUGGGUAAUCUUUGAACGCUGUUCGUGAUUGGGAUAGACCUUUGCAAUUAUGGGUCUUCAACGAGGAAUUCCUAGUAAACGCAAGUCAUCAGCUUGCAUUGAUUACGUCCCUGCCCUUUGUACACACCGCCCGUCGCACCUACCGAUUGAAUGGUCCGGUGAAAUCUCGGGACGGCGGCUUGGUCGCUUGCGUCCGACUGCUGAAACUUGAUUAAACCAUAUCAUUUAGAGGAAGGUGAAGUCGUAACA
rnacentral:rRNA from 1 species